rnacentral:rRNA from 1 species
GCUCCUCGAUAGAUGAAGUAUAUGGGGAGUCGGACCUGCCCGGUGACUGGAAUGUUAAACGGCCGCGGUACCCUAACUGUGCAAAGGUAGCAUAAUCAUUUGCCUUUUAAUUGGAGGCUGGUAUGAAUGGUUUGACGAGAGCCAAGCUGUCUCUUUUAAAAUAUUUAGAAAUUAACUUUUAGGUGAAGAGGCCUAAAUUUAGCUGAGGGACAAGAAGACCCUGUUGAGCUUUAGUGGAACAGUAGAAUAGUAAGAAAGGGUGUUGUGGAUUUAUAAUGAAGCUACAUACGGUUUUGGUUACGUUUUGGUAAUAGUUUUGUUUUUCUGUGAAUCUUUAGUUGGGGCGACUGAGGAAUAAUUAAAGCUUCCUUUGAAAGUUGUAUAGUAGCUGCUGUUAGUGAAUGGAUGUUGGCGAAUUAAAGUUAGAUCCAGUAUGUAUUGAUUAAAGGAAAUAGUUACCACAGGGAUAACAGCGUAAUCUUUCUGGAGAGAUCAUAUCGAAAGGAGGGUUUGCGACCUCGAUGUUGGACUAAGAUAUCCGAAGGGUGUAGAAGCUCUUGAUGGUUGGUCUGUUCGACCAUUAAAAUCUU